GCCUCUAGUUCCGGGCGCAGAGGGGUGGCCACGCUCUCCUGUGUCGCUCGCGCCCCUGGCCGCGCCUGGGAGAGCGGACUGGCCUCCCAGAGAGGAUGCGGGGGAAGCCGCACCGGGGCCCACGGGGACCGGCUCAAUCAACCAGCAACUGCAAUUUUAUGUUUCCCAGUACAUUCAUCCUGACAUGCAAAAAAUGUUUUCCUGUGGCCAAUGGCAAAGAUAAAGGAGCAAGAAUCUGAAGCGUUUAAAAGGAAACAAACAAAUAAACCACGUGAUCUAAACCCACAAUCUGAGAAAUUGUCCCUCCUCACGCAGUUUCUAUUCCAGGCUUCACGUGGCCAAUUUGAGAAGAGCCCGUGCAAGAACAGAAAAAUAUGGAACGCUUCAUGAAUUUGCGUGUCAUCCUUGCGAAGGGGCCAUGCUAAUCUUCUCUGUAUCGUUCCAAUUUUAGGAUAUGUGCUGCCAAGAACAAGUGGAGGCCGCGCGUGGUGGCUCACACCUGUAAUCCCAGCACUUUGGGGGACAGAGGCAGGCGGAUCACUUGAGGUCAGGAGUUCGAGAACUGGCCAACAUGGCGAAACCCCGUCUCUACUAAAAAUGCAAAAUUAGCCUGGCGUGUUGGUGCUUGCCUGUAGUCCCAGCUACUCCGGAGGCUGAGGCAGGAGAAUGGCUUGAACCCGGGUGGCGGAGGGUUGCAGUGAGCCAAGAUUGCGCCACAGCACUGCAGCCUGGGCGACGGAGCAAGACAACGUCUCAAAAAAAAAAAAAAAAAAAGACCAAGUGGAGAAAGACAUUUGGGCGAAUGAUUACAACAUGCUGACUCAUCUAGGGUGUCGAGAAGACCGAAGCAAUUUAAAAAACUAUAUUAUAUCAAGGGCACCGUGGAAAACAAUUAAAAAGAUGGGCUCCAGAUGCACAUGACUCCAGAGAAGCAAUUUGACUAAUAUUUCUACCCCAUGAACCCGUUCCUCCCCAGCUAAGUUAACUGGCUGUGGUAGCCUUGAUUCCAGCCUGAAAGAUUUUUCUGUCUGUGCUAACAUUUUAGCAGUUGCUUUCCCUCUGUUUUGACUGUGACCACGAGAGUAAAGCACCAGGCUCUUCAAACGGAUUUAAGAAUUUAUUAGUUUUUCAGGAGAUGGUGAGAAAUUUACUCAAGAUUCACCUUUUUGUUUAAGGUAAAGUUUUCCAAAGGGAAACUUUCCAACUUUCAUUUUAGUUUCAUUUAAUGUAGAAAAAAAGUUUUUAUUUUCAUGCAGUAUUCUAACUUUAACAGUAGUUUGUGGUCCCCCCCCUCCACAGGUAGAACAUUCCGUGAUAUUUUUUACAGCAUUUGUUAUGUAGACUGGUCUUGGAGGUUUUAUAUGAAAUAUUAUUGAAUGACUCUGCGUGUGAACAAUGAAUGAUAGUUUCGUAAACAACCUUUAGGAGGCAGACAUAGCUUCGGUUUAGCACUAUAAAAACAUGUCACUAUACAAUAGCCUGUAGAAGGUGCUAUGAAAAUACAAAGAAGUAAAACAAAUAGAUAAAAUGCAAUAUGUAAUAAAAUCAUGAAUAAAAUGAUAAGAAUAAUACAUAAAGUAAAAGGGUUUAUGUGGGACUGGGUGGCAUUCAUGUCUGUAUGAGAGACAGGGAAAUGGACAAGAGUGGGUUGAGGGAGUAUCUAGGCUACAAAUCCAUCUAUGUAUGUAUCUUAUGUUGAAUGGAGCUUCAGAAGCCAGAACAUUUAAUAGGACAGGUGGCUGAUACAGGCUGCUAAAUUUAGAUAAUCCCAUUUGUUGAAGUACAACAGGUACCACCGCUGCUUGUUUUAAUAUUUUCUCUGGACUUGCUUCUGUAGCAUAAAGACUACCUCCCCUGGGCUUCCUUAUAUGGAAAUAAAUUAUAUGUAAAAAUUAUUCAUCUCCACCUGUGAAGAGCUUUUCAUGUUUCUAAAAAUUGUAACACUUUUUCAGUGAUUUUUUUUUUUUUUUUUUUUUUUUUUUGGUAGAGAUGGGGUCUUGCUAUGUUUCCCAGGCUGCUCUCAAACUCUUGGCCUCAAGCAAUCCUCCCACCUUAACCCCACAAAGUGUUGGGAUUACAGGUGUGAGCCACCACACCCGGCCUGGAACAAUUUUUGGAAGAGAAAGAAAUAUUUCCCAUAACCAUCCUACUUGAGAUAGUGAAGGCAUCUGUUUUGUUUCACAAACUGAAGCAGGAUAGCAAGAGUCAAAUACGUUUUCAGGCAGAAAGAAUUUUAUCAGAAGAGACAUUUUGCUGGAAAAUAGGUGGACUGAAAGUCUGUUGAUGUGUGUAGGAAACAUCAUCGUUAAUCCUUUGUGUGUGUAGGCACACAAGUUAAAAUAGAAAACAGUAAAAUUAAGUGUCGUAAGGAAAAUAUGAUAAGCAGGCAUCACAAUUAUUAGAUACUCUUUAUUGUAUAGUGUAUAAAUGGCUCUGUAACACCAUAAUGACAGUACACCUAGGAGCCCACGGCUGAUAGGUCCCAGAGUAAAUAAUUUAGCUGUUGGUGUAUAUUGAAUAGUAUUUUGUUUGGUCACAGUUUUGGGAAAUCUUCCUCAUUCAUUUUAGAUAUUGAGGCUUUCUUUUUCAGGCUAGAAAAAUUAAUGUAGGCUGGGUGCUAUGGCUCAUGCCUGUAAUCCCAGCACUUUCGGAGGCCGAGGCAGGAGGAUUGCUUGAGCUCAGGAGUUCGAGACCAAACCUGGGCAACGUAGUGAGACCCUGUCUCUAUAAAAUUUUUAAAAAUAGAAUUAAAAAUUAAAAAAAUAGGGGUUGGGGAGAGAGAGCAUCAGUUAGAAUAGCUAAUGGAUGCUGGGCUUAAUAUCUAGGUGCAGCAAACCACCAUGGCACACAUUUGCCUAUGUAACAAACCCUCACAUCCUGCACAUGUACCCCGAACUUAAAAGCUGAAGAAAAAAAAUUAAAUAAAAAAUUAAAAAUAAAGAAAAAAUUAACGUAGAGGAAUGUUAGCCUAUGACAUCAGAAAAUUUUGAAUAAAUUUAAAAUUCUUGAUAGUUUAUGCCUGUUUCUUCUAUUCGAGAUAAUAUGCACUUAGUAAAUAUAAAGAUGGCAUUUUACAGUCAUUUUCAUACACCAACUGUGUGCCAAAAGAUUCUGUAUAACAGAGGUGGAUUAUGAAAGCAACCAACCACAAUUUAACAGAAAUUUAAGAAAUUUAAACUUAAAGGAAUCUAAACAUAAUUUACAGAAUAAUGUGUUCUAAUGAGGGCUUUUUGUUUAAAUUAUUUUAAUUGCUCUUUAUUUAUAUCUUCAUUCUUAUGAAAAAGUUUUCCAAACUUAUUAUAGCUGUUUUAGAAUGUUCGAAAACUUCAAAAAAGAAAAUUUAGACUGGGCGCGGUGGCUUAUGCCUGUAAUCCCCGCACUUUGGAAGGCCUAGGUGGACGGAUCACUUGAGGUCAGCAGUUUGAAACCAGCCUGGCCAACAUGGUGAGACCCUGUCUCUACUAAAUAUACAAAAAUUAGUCGGGUGUGGUGGUGGGCGCCUGUAAUCCCAGCUACUCGGGAGGCUGAGGCAGGAGAAUUGCUUGAAACUGGGAAGUGGAGGUUGCAGUGAGCUGAGAUCACACCACUGCACUCCAGCCUUGGUGACAAGCAAGAAUCCAUCUCAAAAAAAAAAGAAAAGAAAAUUAAAACUGAGAAAACCAGUAUGAAUAUUUUGGCAGUUCCUUCUAGGGUUUUCUCUUAAUUUCCUUUUGUUUCUCUCUCUCUCCUUCAAAGCACACAUACACUUAAAUGUACACAGUUGAAUUUGUACUGUUUAUAGUCUUAUAUCCUGCUUUUUCCACUUAACAUACUAUGAGCAUUUUUCCAUGUCAUUAAAUAUGCUUUGAAUAUGUUCUUGGCCACAUAGAAUUCCAUCCUAUUGAUGCACCUGUUUUCUUUUAAGCAGAGACACAUGCCAUGCUUUCCAGUCAUGCUGGACUCUCAAAAGCCAAAGAAAAUACCUUGUGUUGAUCUACCAUAAGCCUCUUAUAAACGUCCAUUUUUUAUUUCAUUUAUUAAAUGUACCCAUGGUACAAACGCACCUCUGGACACUAGAUACAAUCAAUAGUUAAUAAGCAGUCUAAAGAAAAUGCCAGUGAGCAGUGAGCUCUGUCCCCUUGAUGAUAAGUAUUAGUCACCCACGUCUCUAUUACAAGUUUAUAAGGUGUCAACAAGUGUCGCAAAUGCUUUUUCCAUUUUGUGAUAGCCCCAAAUGAAUUUCAAUCUCUCAGGCACCCACCUCAAGAACUUCAGAUUCUAACAGGGCAGUUUUGAGUUUUAAUAUUAAAACUUCUAAUAUAAAUGCUACAAAAUUCCAAAAACACCAUUUAACUUUACACUUAGUUUUGUGAAUUUGAAUAAUUUUUAAAUUAUUUUAUUUCAGUUUGUUUUCCCACCUUCAAUCAGGGUAACUGAUUUAGCUUUAAAACAAUCUGCCAGAAACUUUGGUUCUGACCUCUUUAGGGCUGUAACUAGAAGUAAUGUAUCUGUAACACACACCAAGCAUAAAUGAACCCUUUAAUCCUCAGGAGGGCACUGUGGAACUACGUUCUUAGGGUUGUCUGCUGUGGGAAGGUUCUUUUGUUACUCAAAUGUGAGGGGUGCUGGGACAGGCCUCCACAGAAAACUUUUGUAUUUUUAUUUACUUUAAAAAACAAACCAUAAAGAUUUUUUUCAAAUAUGAAACUGAAAUGUAUAUAUUUCAUAAAUAUUUUCAUACUAAACUGAGCAAAUUUAAGAAUGAUUAAGCUGUUUCUACUGGGAAAAUCAUAGGUAAGGAAACUGCUUUCAUGUAGCUUUAUGUACAUUUGGAAAGAUUAAACCUGAACUGGGUUUUUAAUCUUAUAAUUUUUAAACGUACAAUAUUCAAGAGUUCUCAGCCCUAUAUUGAUAGUACUUAUUGUAAAACUAAAUAGUUUUUUCAAAUAAAAAAAGGUAUUUUAA